rnacentral:rRNA from 1 species
CUUACACAUGCAAGUCGCGGGGCAGCAUGAGUGGCACACUUGAUGGCGANCGGCGCACGGGUGAGUAACGCGUAUGCAACCUACCUCUGACUGGAGAAUAGCCCGAAGAAAUUCGGAUUAAUGCUCCAUAAGACCACGAUACCGCAUGAUAAAGUGGUAAAAGUUCCGACGGUUAGAGAUGGGCAUGCGUGCCAUUAGUUUGUUGGUGAGGUAAUGGCUCACCAAUGCAACGAUGGCUAGGGGGUCUGAGAGGAUGAUCCCCCACACUGGUACUGAGACACGGACCAGACUCCUACGGGAGGCAGCAGUGAGGAAUAUUGGUCAAUGGACGCAAGUCUGAACCAGCCAUGCCGCGUGCAGGAUGAAUGCCCUAUGGGUUGUAAACUGCUUUUCUACAAGAAGAAACCCCUUGACGCGUCAAGGGCUGACGGUAUUGUAGGAAUAAGCAUCGGCUAACUCCGUGCCAGCAGCCGCGGUAAUACGGAGGAUGCAAGCGUUAUCCGGAUUCAUUGGGUUUAAAGGGUGCGUAGGCGGGGUAGUAAGUCAGUGGUGAAAGCCUGCGGCUUAACCGUAGAAUUGCCAUUGAUACUGCUAUUCUUGAGUGCAGUUGAGGUAGGCGGAAUGUGUAAUGUAGCGGUGAAAUGCUUAGAUAUUACACAGAACACCGAUUGCGUAGGCAGCUUACUAAACUGUUACUGACGCUGAGGCACGAAAGCGUGGGGAGCGAACAGGAUUAGAUACCCUGGUAGUCCACGCUGUAAACGAUGAUCACUCGCUGUUGGCGAUACACUGUCAGCGGCUGAGCGAAAGCAUUAAGUGAUCCACCCUGGGGAGUACGGCCGCCAAGGUUGAAACUCAUAAGGAAUUGACGUGGGGCCACGCACUAAGCUGGUGGUAACAUGUGGUUUAAUGUCGAUGAUACNNG